AUGUCGGACAAGAUGGCGGCGGCCGCGGCCUCCCCUCAGCCGCAGCCCGGGCCCGGCCCGCCGGCGGCGGAGGAGGAGGGCGGCGGCCCGCGGGGCGGCGGGGCCGACGGGGAGGCGGAGGCGGAGGAGUUCGGGUGCCCGGCGCACUGCUCCGACCUGGCCUGGCGGCAGAACGAGCAGCGCCGGCACGGCCUGUACUGCGACAUCACCCUGGCGUUCGGCGGCGGGCGGCCCGGCGCGGCCCGCGAGUUCCACGAGUUCCGCGCGCACCGCUCCGUGCUGGCGGCCGCCACCGAGUACUUCGCGCCGCUGCUCUCGGGCGGCUUCGCCGAGUCGCGUUCGGGCCGCGUGGAGCUGCAGAAGUGGAGCUCGGAGGGCGGCCCCGACCCCGACACGGUGGAGGCCGUCAUCGGCUUCAUGUACACCGGCGCCAUCCGCGUCGGCCCCGGCAACGUGCACGAGGUGCUGGAGAUGGCCGACAGGUUCCUGCUGACCCGGCUGAAGGAGUUCUGCGGGGAGUUCCUCAAGAAGAAGCUGAACCUCUCCAACUGCGUGGCGGUGCACAGCCUGGCGCACAUGUACUCGCUGAGCCAGCUGGCGCUGCGGGCGCAGGACAUGAUCCGCAGGAACUUCCACAGAGUCAUCCAGGACGAGGAGUUCUACACGCUGCCCUUCCACCUCAUCAGGGACUGGCUGUCCGACUCGGAGAUCACGGUGGACUCGGAAGAAGUCCUCUUCGAGACCGUCUUGAAGUGGGUUCAGAGGAAUCCCGAGGAAAGGGAGAGGUACUUCGAGGAACUCUUCAAGCUGCUGAGGCUGUCUCAGAUGAAGCCCACGUACCUCACGCGCCACGUCAAAUCCGAGAGGCUGGUGUCCAGCAAUGAGGCCUGUGUCAGGCUGGUGUCAGACGCCGUGGAGAGUCACGCCCUGAGAUCUGAGAACUUGCAGUCUGGUAACCUGCAGCAUUCCGCCUGUCCUGCUGCGUUGCUGCCGCGUUUCGGACAAAACAUGGACGUCAUUAUGGUGAUCGGUGGUGUGUCGGAGGGAGGAGAUUACCUGAGUGAGUGCGUGGGGUAUUUCAUCGAUGAAGAUAGGUGGGUAAACUUGCCGCACAUCCAUAACCAUCUCGAUGGGCAUGCUGUUGCUGUGACAGAGUCUUAUGUUUAUGUGGCUGGCUCCAUGGAACCGGGAUUUGCCAAGACUGUAGAAAGGUAUAAUCCAAACAGAAAUAUCUGGGAGCAAGUCUCAAAUUUAAUAACUAGAAAGCACUCAUUUGGCCUUACUGAAGUUAAAGGAAACUUGUACAGUAUCGGUGGACAUGGCAAUUUCAGUCCUGGCUUUAAAGAUGUAGCUGUUUAUAAUCCCGAGCAAGACAAAUGGCAUAACCUGGAGUCAGCACCAAAGAUCCUUCGUGAUGUCAAAGCUGUUUCUGUAGAAGACCGGUUUGUUUAUGUUGCUGCUCGUACCCCGGUUGACAGUGAUAGUGAAGAUGGAUUGAGGGCAGUUAUUAUCAGAUACGAUGCUGAAACAAGGCAGUGGCAGGACGUAGAGUCUCUGCCGCUCAUUGAUAAUUACUGCUCUUUUCAGAUGUCAGUUGCAAACACAAACUUUUACCAUACAGCAUCCUGCUGCCCCAAGAGUUACCCUAUAGAUAACGAGGAAGCCAAGGUAAAGAUCUCUGGCAGGGCCUCAGAUGAGAUACUUGAAAGUUUACCCCCGGAGGUCCUUAGCAUUGAAGGGGCAGCUAUUUGUUAUUAUAAAGACGAUGUUUUCAUCAUUGGGGGGUGGAAGAACAGUGAUGAUAUUGACAAGCAGUACAGGAAGGAGGCCUAUCGCUACUGCGCUGAGAGGAAGCGCUGGAUGCUUCUGCCUCCCAUGCCUCAGCCUCGCUGUAGGGCAACAGCCUGCCACGUCAGAAUCCCCUUCAGGUGCCUGCAGGGCACGCAGAGAUACCCGAUGCCGCAGAACCUCAUGUGGCAGAAAGACAGAAUAAGACAGAUGCAGGAAAGGCAGAUGCAGGAAAUACACCGACAUUCCCUGAGCUUGCGAAGAAUGCCACGCUCGCAGAUUGAGUGCUGACUUCUGGGUUGCCAACUCUUGUGAAGGUAGUUCAGGAAAUACUGUGCUAAACCAUUUUGCGAGGCAUUUUAUGUCUUUAGAAGACAUCAGGGCGUUGAGUAGGUUUGACAUCUAAAAGUGGCAUGUUUUAUAUACUGAAAGUUACAAAGGUCAGAAAUCGAAGAUGAAUGGGAAUUGAGAAACUGAAUCCAACAAUACUACUUAACAGUGCCCAGGAAAAAGCUGCUUUCCUGUACCAGACUGUGACACAGAUCUUUGUUUUCAAGGAUUUCUGUGGAGUUGGUCUCCUACAGUUCUAUUUUGAAAAUCAAAGAUCUCUCUCUAAUAAUUUAGUGGUUACAUUCGUGUGUGCUGAAAGCACCUGCUUUAUUUGCACUUAGUAUGUUGACAUUCCUUUGAUUCUCCUCAGUGACUAAACUACCCGUGUAAUCGAUGUUAGUGUACUUGGCUUUCUCAAGUUGGAGGCGAGUGCAAUAGUUAAUAACUACAUGUGGAAAUGAAAGCACAAUCUCUCUUUGUGGAGUUACUUCAGGAUGUUUCUAUGUCUAAUGAAUAUUGUGUGUCCGUACGUUGUAGAGAGGCUGUGUGUUCAUUUGUGAAUGGUUGAUGAGCAGAACGUCAGACACUUGCUAGAAGAGAACUUGAGGCAGUGAUCUUUUUCAGGCGUAUCUGGAGAGGCUUUGAGUUUCCUUAGGAGCUUCAAAGGAGAGAGCCAGCAGAGCAGUCAUGGACCAAAGUCAGUCCCUUCUGUCUGUGUGGAUUAGUAAGAAUGCCACUAUCCCACAGGAGCGGAUUGAAACUUGAGCUACUUGUCAAUGCUUUCUCAAAUGCUGAACGCAUUUAAUUGUAGUGAAGGAGUGUUUGGAAGAACCCCCACACACCUGUUUGCAGCCUGUCUUUGACAAUCAGCACCUCUGGCCUUCAGUGUCUUUCCCACGGGACUCUCAGUAGCUGUGCUGCAGUGCUCAACAAACCAGUGCUCGGUGUUCUCAGAGGGGCACUGCUGAGGAUGGCAUGCAGACUCCGAGAUGCAGCUGGAGAUUGUACAGUCUCUAAAUAUUUUUAGAGACUAACAUUUCCGUUGAUUACAGGUGCUGUGCUGUGGUUUUCCAUCAGUCAGUGCCCCGCUUGGCUCUGGUUUGUAAGUGCUUCAACCCCGGGAAACAGAAGGUCAAAUCGUUCCUUUGGAGAUUCGUCUGUCCUGCCGAGCACCUCCCUGAUCUGAGGAGCUCCAGGACAGCUGUUACUAGUGGUUCAGUGCGUCCCUCCUGCCUCCUUUUCUUCCUCGUCCUUCCCUUUGUUUCAGUGUUCCAGGUUUUCACGUGUGACCCAACUCAGGAUAUUAGGGAAGGGAAGGGAAGGGAGGUGCCAGCAGGGCGCUGCAAAGUUUGAGUUGACAAAUGUUGGUGGAGGAGCUGUGUGCAGUCUCUGGUUCCUGUGAUAAUUCUCUGGUGCUUUUGACGCAGGCAACUCCUUCGAAAAAGGUUUUCUGAACAUUUUUUUGUUUUGUUGUGCUUCUGUUUUUUGUUGUUUAGCUUUCUGAACUGAUCCUUCUCAUUUUCCAAUUCAGCAGGCAACCUAGAUCAUAUCUGAGACCCUGGGUAAGGGUAAGUCUUUCAGUCGCAUAACGUGUAAAGGUUUCUGUGGUCUGUAAUAUCCUUGAUGCUCCUCUUAGUUCACCUGCCACUCUGACAUCAACAGUCCUUUUGUAACGGGAGAAAAACCCAGCCUCGUAAAAAUUAUCUCGAAAACCUUAACAGUUCGUUUCAAAUUACUUCUCAGUAGAAACCAUCCUGUAUUUGAUUUGCCUGCUACAUUGCUGUGCAGUGGCAGAUUAAAUUGUACAGUGCUGGUUUAGUGCAAGAGAGGAAAUGGUUAAACUUAUUGAGCUUUAAGGCUGAUGUUCAGUAACGACCAUUGCCAAAUCAGCUCCUGCAGGCCCUUGAGGAAGGGCUGCAUCCAUGGAGUUUGGCCCAUGAGCUCUGGCUGGUUUGGCUGGAGUAGGUUAAGUAUUACUGCCCCCAUAGGAGGGUUUGUGAGCAGACUGUGUGCAAAUGCCUCACAGCUUCAAUGCUGGAAUUACGGUUUAAUUGCAGCGGGAGCUGAAUUUAAGGCACUUUGCACAGAAGCAGUGAGAACAGUUUAUGUGUUCCCUCCCUGCUGACUUUACUGCAGGGAGACGAUGAGUAAAGGACACGACCUUGUCAGCCCACCGCAGCUCCAUUGGAGCCCUUAGGCACUCUGACAACAAAUCUGGGACAAUUUAUGGGAGUAAGUACUGAAACUGCGGUUCGGUUGGAAUAUAAACAGCGCGAUGCAGCGUGCAGCUAAGUUGGGAGCAGGAAGAAAUUUCUGGCGGUCUUUUUCUAAGCGAAACCGAUACCUGCGCUCACCAGGACCUCAAUCUGACAUACAAGCUAUCUUGUUUCCUAAAGACAUUCCACUGAAAGGCAUCAGAACAACUAAGUAACCUGUGAAUGCCAGCCAUGGUUCUGUAUGUGAUGCACUGUAUUUCUGUGUUCUGUUUGCAUGGGGAGUGAUGGCACUGCGACAGCACUGGUUUGCUUUAACCUGUGCAAGGCCAACGCUAUGGAAUUGUUCAGUGGUUGGAUUUUUAUAGCCUUGACCAGCUGCAUUACACGGUUUGUAACUGACGAGUCCCACUGUCUGCUGCCUCACCUGUAGGUGUUGAGAAGAAUUGAAUCUGGCUGUAAUUUCGCUCACUAACCUGUGACUCGUGUAACAGAUGCAUUCUGGCCCUGAGUGCUGUAGCUUGCUGAGUGCUUGUUUUAAAGUAAUCCUAUAAGCAACAGCUUGGGAAUCCUUCCGUGUGUGUAGUGGGUAGUUAAUGUCAGUAAGAUUCUAGUGUGUGUGAAGCACUACAAGGCUGAUUUCUGUCCUUGCAAACGAACAUCAGGUGGUGUUUUUCCUCCCUAAGACAAUCAUAGCUGUAUUGGACACAUGCCACACAAUGCAUGUUGCACAUCUGUCUGCUCCAGCUGUCAGUGAGGUAGGACACGUGCUGCCUGGCACUGCGUGCUCCCUGCAGUCAUUCCUAGGUAGGUGCCAUAGAUGUACAUAUGUUUUAUAAGGACUUGGAUAUUCUGUUACUAUGCUAGUUUUGUAUAUAUAUUUUAAUAAGAUUUCCUCACACAGUAGGGUUACUCCAGAAAUAGAGAAAACAUGCCAAUUUUCCAGCAUGCUUUAUAAAAAAUUGUCCUAGGUUGGUCACGAUUAACAAAGUGGGUCACAAAGAGUAGCAGCUUCUUAGGUUAUUUCUAUCACAGCGUUUAAUCCCACGUUGCAGCACUCACUGGGCUCAAACUGUUGGAUGGCUUGGAUCUAUUUUCAGCUGUGCCCAAAUUAUUUGAGAAUAUAAGUGGUAUCUCUGAUCUGACAGUCUUAAGUGGAAGUCUGAUAGAACAGGUGCUUCUGAGGAUCCAAUCCUAUUACUAACAUGAAUGUAAAGUGUGGGGCUAAUUCGAUGUUUGAAGACCAUUAAUAGUAAGAUACUCCUCAUAGGUCCGUGUCACUGUGGAUCACGGCAGCUGUAUUCAGUGUUCAUGUAGACUUCAAGAGAAUGCUUGGGCAAGCAGCACUCCUGUACUUAACUUCCAGUAAGAUUAAGCGAAUGCAUUCUUUUGCUGCUUAGAAGACUUUAUUGGCUAACCGGAGCUGUUUGUGCAGGCAGGGCUCUGUGAAGAAGUGCCUCCGACCUCCCCUUGCUGCGAGGGCUCCACGCUAAUCUCUCCUGGCAGCGUAAUCCCCCACGUUGCACAGCCCUGGCACCACGCAGCAGCUCAGAGCGCUGCGAUAGAUGCUCAUGUCCUGAGCGUCAAACCACUCGUCGGCUUUUUCGUCGUAACACUCAACGUUGUACGUCGUGGCGUAUCCGUUAAAGCCACCGACCACAAACAAGAGGUCGUCCACCACUUCAAUGCCGAAGUUGCUGCGAGGAUUGAACAUGGUGGGGACAACGCGCCACGUGUUGGCAGCUGGGCUGUAGGCUUCCGCAGUGCGGAGCCGGUUGACUCCGUCGAAUCCUCCUACCUGUGAAUGCCAAAGGCACAGCGCUGAAAGAGGCCUUUCCCCCUUGGGAGGCAGCUGAAUGGUGCUGUGCACGUGUCGGAUUUUAACUUGGCCUACUCUGCUAUGUGAGUUGGAGCGCCGCUCAACUGACAAAAUGCAAUGCUUGCUUAUGGCAGACUGCUCCCUUGUUCGUUCUGGAGCAUCCAAAAGUAUUUUGGUCAUUACAUUUACACUGAACUUAAAGGCAGUAUGUGGAUAAGCAGGACCAAGCAGCACUGUGCUGCUAAACACUUUUAUCAGCAGCAGAAUCAUUUCUUUGCUGCAACUCUUUACAUGUUUUGUACUUAUUUCAUAAUGAAGAAUGUGAGGGUGACAGUAUUCUACAGGGGAUUUCAGCCAUUCUUGCCUUUCUUCCCUAAAUCUCACUUAGAAGUGAAAGGCCAGUGCGAAAAUUAGUCUAGGAAAUGCAGAUUAACAGAACUUAAUUGCAUUAAAGAAACAAACAGCA